GGGGAAUGUUGGACAAUGGACGCAAGUCUGAUCCAGCAAUGCCGCGUGCAGGACGAAGGCCUUCGGGUUGUAAACUGCUUUUGUACAGAACGAAAAAGUCUUUAAUAACACUAGAGGCUCAUGACGGUACUGUAAGAAUAAGCACCGGCUAACUACGUGCCAGCAGCCGCGGUAAUACGUAGGGUGCAAGCGUUAAUCGGAAUUACUGGGCGUAAAGCGUGCGCAGGCGGUUAUAUAAGACAGAUGUGAAAUCCCCGGGCUCAACCUGGGACCUGCAUUUGUGACUGUAUAGCUAGAGUACGGUAGAGGGGGAUGGAAUUCCGCGUGUAGCAGUGAAAUGCGUAGAUAUGCGGAGGAACACCGAUGGCGAAGGCAAUCCCCUGGACCUGUACUGACGCUCAUGCACGAAAGCGUGGGGAGCAAAC
rnacentral:rRNA from 1 species